rnacentral:rRNA from 1 species
GAUGAACGCUGACAGAAUGCUUAACACAUGCAAGUCGAUGGGGAAGUGGUGCUUGCACCAUGGUAACCAUGGCGGACGGGUGAGUAACACGUAAGGAACUUACCUGCGGGACCGGGAUAACAGCAGGAAACUGCUGACAAGACCGGAUAAGGUCAUUAAGCUGCAUAGCUUAGUGAUGAAAGGAGACGCCUGCGGAGAGCCUUGCGUCCUAUUAGCUAGUUGGAGGGGUAACGGCCCACCAAGGCGAAGAUAGGUAGCCGGCCUGAGAGGGUGGACGGCCACAAGGGGACUGAGAUACGGCCCUUACUCCUACGGGAGGCGGCAGUGGGGAAUAUUGGACAAUGGGGGCAACCCUGAUCCAGCAAUUCUGUGUGCACGAAGACGGUUUUCGGAUUGUAAAGUGCUUUCAGCAGGGAAGAAGGAAGUGACGGUACCUGCAGAAGAAGCGACGGCUAAAUACGUG